UACGGAGGGUGCGAGCGUUAAUCGGAAUUACUGGGCGUAAAGCGUGCGUAGGUGGUUUGUUAAGUCAGAUGUGAAAGCCCCGGGCUUAACCUGGGAACGGCAUUUGAAACUGGCAGACUAGAGUUGAGUAGAGGGGAGUGGAAUUUCAGGUGUAGCGGUGAAAUGCGUAGAUAUCUGAAGGAACACCAGUGGCGAAGGCGACUCCCUGGACUCAAACUGACGCUGAGGUACGAAAGCGUGGGUAGCAAACAGG
rnacentral:rRNA from 1 species